UACGUAGGGCGCAAGCGUUGUCCGGAAUUAUUGGGCGUAAAGAGCUCGUAGGCGGUUUGUCGCGUCUGCUGUGAAAAACCUAGGCUCAACCUUGGGCUUGCAGUGGGUACGGGCAGACUAGAGGUAGGUAGGGGAGAAUUGGAAUUCCCGGUGUAGCGGUGAAAUGCGCAGAUAUCGGGAGGAACACCGGUGGCGAAGGCGGUUCUCUGGGCCUUACCUGACGCUGAGGAGCGAAAGCAUGGGGAGCGAACGG
rnacentral:rRNA from 1 species